rnacentral:tRNA from 1 species
AAGGAUAUAGCUCAGUUAGAAUGUGUGCUUAGCAUACACAAGGUCUGGGUUCAAUCCUCAGUAUCUUCA